rnacentral:rRNA from 1 species
UACGUAGGGUGCGAGCGUUAAUCGGAAUUACUGGGCGUAAAGCGUGCGUAGGCGGUUCGUUAAGUUCGUUGUGAAAGCCCCGGGCUCAACCUGGGAAUGGCAAUGGAAACUGGCGGCUGGAGUAUGGCAGAGGGGGUGGAAUUCCGCGUGUAGCAGUGAAAUGCGUAGAGAUGCGGAGGAACACCGAUGGCGAAGGCAGCCCCCUGGGCCAAUACUGACGCUCAGGCACGAAAGCGUGGGGAGCAAACAGG